GACGAACGCUGGCGGCGUGCUUAACACAUGCAAGUCGAACGCUGAAGCUCAGCUUUUGUUGGGUGGAUGAGUGGCGAACGGGUGAGUAACACGUGAGUAACCUGCCUCCUUCUUUGGGAUAACGCCCGGAAACGGGUGCUAAUACUGGAUAUUCACUGGUCUUCGCAUGGGGGUUGGUGGAAAGGGUUUUUCUGGUGGGGGAUGGGCUCGCGGCCUAUCAGCUUGUUGGUGGGGUGAUGGCCUACCAAGGCUUUGACGGGUAGCCGGCCUGAGAGGGUGACCGGUCACAUUGGGACUGAGAUACGGCCCAGACUCCUACGGGAGGCAGCAGGGGGGAAUAUUGCACAAUGGGCGCAAGCCUGAUGCAGCGACGCCGCGUGAGGGAUGGAGGCCUUCGGGUUGUGAACCUCUUUCGCUCAUGGUCAAGCCGCAACAAUGGUUGUGGUGAGGGUAGUGGGUAAAGAAGCGCCGGCUAACUACGUG
rnacentral:rRNA from 1 species